GUUGGUGAAUAUAUGCCGUCGUCUAUAUAUACCCUGUAGAACCGAAUUUGUGUGAAAAAAUAACAUUCACAGAUUCGAUUCUAGGGGAGUAUAUGGUCGAUGCAAUAACUUCGAAAAACA
rnacentral:precursor_RNA from 8 species